rnacentral:lncRNA from 1 species
CUGCAGCUCUCCUUACCUUGUCGACCCCAGCCGCAGAGGCAACCAGCUAAAGACCUCUAGCUCUCUGCCUUCUCCACGCCACAAACAGGAUCCCAGGACAGGCCAGGUGCUGACGCUCUGCAACGCAUGUGGUCUGGCACUCGCCAGGCCUCGGAGCACUCCGAACCCCGCGAAGGAUCCUGGGCCGGAUGAGAGGAAGCGGCAUGAAGAGCAGCUGCAGGCGUUUGGACGGGCCAUGGUGGAGCUGCUCGGGGACCAGGAUGGGAGCAAGCUCUGCUGUCCUGCCUACACCAGGAAACCCUGCCUCUGUCUCCAGAAUUAUCUCAAAGCCCCAGGGCUGGGUGAGAGCGAGAGCCGGACACGAGCCCUCGAGUUCUUGAGGUUGCUGCAGGAAUCCAAGCGACUGAAAGCCGUGAAGUUCUGCAGCGCCGG